rnacentral:misc_RNA from 1 species
UUCGAGCGUCAUUAUGACCACUCAAGUCUCGGCUUGGUAUUGGGGUUCGCGGUUCCGCGGCUCUUAAAAUUAGUGGCGGUGUCGUCUGGCUCUAAGCGUAGUAAUUCUCUCGCUAUAGGGUUUUAGAUGAUUGCUUGCUAGAAUCCCCCCCACCUUUAUAGGUUGACCUCGGAUCAGGUAGGGAUACCCGCUGAACUUAA